AAGAACUUAAAAUUUAGUGAGUAGGGAUUGGGAGAGGAUCUGGAAGGACUUGAGGGAGGGAAAACACGAUCCAAAUAUGUUUAAAUUUAAAAUUGUUUUAAAUAAUUAAAAUAGUAAAAAAGAAAAAAAAUAAAGAAAUGUUCUCCACCUAGGGAAGCAUCUUGCCAGAGUUAAAUCUUGACCCUAAGAAGGUGAGGCCAGAAUACUUUCUUGAGGGCACCGAGUGGACCUAUCUGCCAGAAGUCACAAACGGAGAGAUCAAGUGAGGAGAACCACACCGUAGAAGCUCACAAGUCAGACAAAGUGAGCUCACACUACUGGAGCUCUCAGGGGAACAAUUGUUGCAUAAUGAGUCAUAAGUGCCAUUUGACAUAAUUUUUCCUUGUACGAUGCUGGUUAUUGACUGACAAUGUUAUUAUGGUUUGCAUCUUAUAUAUUUCCCAAAAGCUCAGUCACUGAAGGUGUGGCCUCCAGCUGCUGAUGGAGAUAUGAAAGUAUACAUAUGAAUAUGUGGAAACAUUGGAAUUAGGACCCUGUUAGAGGAAGUAAGUCACUGGAGUUGUGAUUCCAGUCUCUUCUUUUCUUUCCUUUUUCCUUCUUGUAUAACAUGGCAUAAACAGUUCAUUUCUCAAUGAAUUGAAACCUUGGAAACCAUAAGCCAAAAUAAACUUUGUUUUUUCUUUUAGGACAUCUUCCAUAUUUUCCAGAGUUAUGACAAACAUAACAUAAGCAUAGUAUAAUUAUCACAAAGAUUACUCCUUCUACAGCUAAAAUUACAGCCAUUAUCACCUACUGCUAAUACUAUUAUAAGGCUAUGGAA
rnacentral:lncRNA from 1 species